ensembl:processed_transcript
GACAGACUGGCGUUUGCUGAAAGCAAAUGGAAACGUCAAUAAAAACAGAGUAUCAACUCAUGUCAGAUCCACAAAAAAUCUGAGACAUCACCUCCAAAAAAAACAAACACAUCUUAAGAGCGCAGAGUCGUCUCCGGUGCCAUACUCUCUCCGUCUCUGUGUAUGGAGCCUCCCAAGGACCGAUAAGAGAUUCCUAUCAGUUCACAAAUGGAAACACAGUUGAACCUCCAGGAGUGAUCAAAUUCAGAAGCAUGGCGACCUGCCUAAAGACUUUACAAAUUGCGGGUGACAGAUGGACGCCUUAAUUAGAGCUCACCCAACUGUGAAUUAAAGUGAUGUGAGAUCAUGUUAUGACAACAUAUCCUGUUUGGGUAGCCGUGCCAUGGUGGUAUCUCUCUCACUCAAGCUAAUGGAGCUCAGAGCACUUAGGCUGUCAGCAUUUAUCAAAAAAAUAAAAA